rnacentral:lncRNA from 1 species
AUGCUCCUUUUUCUGCAAGACAACAGGAAUCGACAGAAAUCCUUGUCUCUUAAAGUACAACACCAAGCAAGGCCAAAUCAGCAGGAGGAGGCUAUUAGACUAUUUCACAGCAUGCUGGGGGAUGGCAUCAGCACUCUGAGUGGGGCAAAUGUUCCUAGGAAGGCAGAAAGAAAAACCUCGAUUUCAUGUUCAGCUAAUACAGCUAGGAAGUACCAAGCAGAACUCAUGGCUCCUUCUCACGGUCACGGAGAGAACAAGACAGCUCAACAACUGGACAGGGCUCAGGUCUGGCCUUGCCGAAGAAGAGCUCUGCGUUCUGACUUGACAGAUCGGGGAGUUGGUGUCCAGGUUUCUCUUGCUCCUCAGUAACUGCUCUUACCAUAAGGUAACAUUCAGUCUGGGGCUCUUCCUCUAGCACAAUAAAUAUUUAUUAUUCUAUGCUGUGAGAAUUUCUGAUUAUUAUUUUUUUUAGAGACUCUAAAAACAGAUAAAUAUAUACCUAAGUCCACUAAGUCCUUUUCUCCAUGUUGCCUGAAAACUCUGAAGUGAUGAAAGAUCUAAUGUUUUACUUGGCAAACUCUGCUAAUAAUUGAUUUCCCAAAGUACUAAGAACUUAAGAUUUCUAUGUAGCUCGAGUUUGCUUUGCUCCCUUUUACAAUUAUAUGCUGCCUUUGCUUUUGGGUAGGACAUGCAAACUGUAAUUUCUUCUCUGUAGGAAAUGUCAACACAACCUUUGUCUUAAAAAUUAAAGGUAAGAAAUUCAAACAUAUAACACAAAGAAACAAAAAUUUUGAGUCAGUUUAACAUUAAAUCUACAUCUUGUAAAAAUGGUGCUCACACAUCAGUCUAUAGAAGAUGAAAAACAGCUUCAGAAUAAAGCACUGAAAUUUGGUUGUACAAAUUCUGCUACCACAUAGCAAAUUUAAUUUGUAUGGAAGCAUGGAAAAAAAAAAACAUUUUACAUUUAGCAGAAAAAUAAAUAUGGUAUUGUUAUUAUUUCUCAUAAAUGUUCUCGUUGCUUAUAUGAUUGUUUUAUUCUAGAUGAUGUACCUUGUUUUAAUAUACACAAUUCAAUUCAGAAAUAACUACUAAAUGAAACAGCAGAUAAGUAAAAUAUAAUUAGACUAUGUCUAAUACAGUUACAUAGACUUUCAUGACUAAUUGCUGUAAUUAUAGAUUGCAUCCUAAAAACUCAGAACCAAGUCUUCUGAAAUCAAUGUGCACAGUCAUUCCUUCAGUUCAAAUGUCUUAAAAUAAGACAGAUUUUGGAAAUGCUGGAAAUAAACAAUAAAGAGAGGCAGCCAGGUCCUCACAGCUAUACAACAUCAAUUGCACUCAAGAAAGAGAGGCCAGUUCAGACAACAUGAAGCAAGAAGGCAAAAUGGUAUGGACACUGCCAGGUGACAACAGGCUUUCUGCCGCCCUAAGCAGCAUGCUACCUACUUGCUUUUCAUACUCUUCCCCUAAAAAAAAUGUGACUUUGUUGUAACAUCCAGCCAAAGAGAACCUUUUCCCUUCUUUUCUUAGUUAAAUACAUAAAUUAAUAUAUUGCCCUUCUCACAGAAUACAAAAUAGCAUAAGUAUGAUUUCUUUAUUUGUUAUGCAUUUCUUUAUACCCGUGUGAAAUCUGCCAUCUUCAUUCCAGAGCGUUUUCCACUACUUUGCAGAGUAAAGAUAUAAAAAACAGGCCUGUAAUACCAAACACUGCAAAGUUAAUGAUAUUUUUGGAACUUUAUUCUUUCAUACUUACUAAUUUUGAGAGAUAAUUGGGCUACUGGAAUAUUGCAACAAUUAUUACUAAAUUUUAUUUAAGCCAGUUUUUCUAUCCCAAUUAUAAUUAGGAAUAACAGCUAGACCCAGUAUCUCUGAUGAAUUCCAGUGGCACAAUUCUUCUUUGUUUUCUACUAAUUUGUUGUGUGAAUUUGAUAAAUUUUAGCAGUCAGAGAAGUGAAAAACUACCUCCAUUGGUUAAAGCCAAGAACAGUUUAGAUGCACUAAAUCAGGUUCUCCAAACAGCUGUGCCAAUGUACCUCUGUCCAAAACUGCUAGUAGAGUUUUAGGUCUUUGCUGAACAGGCUGCCAGCUGCAUGAAGUAAUGCCAAAGUGUAUGGAAUACAAAUAAACAUCUACUUGGAUUUAUAUUUAGACCAGCAAACAUGGUACAUUUGUGUCCCAGGGUCAGAUUUAAGCCUAGACCUCUACAAAUGUAUCCUACUGUAUUGACCAACUGUGCCAUCUAGCUCUCUUUCAAAGUAAUCCUAUUAUAUAAUGAAUUAUGAUGAGAGAUUUUAGCACUGCUGAAUUUGAGUUAAAUAAUCCCUCUAAGCAGUUGGAUACUAAAUGGAAAUAUUUCUGCUGUACUUGGGCCACAUUUGAAAACAUCACGUUAUUUUUUUUUAAAUCAGAUAAUAAUUCAACAUAUUUACGUACUUUUUACUAGCCCAGACUCAUGCAAGAGGCUAAAUCUUAAAUAUUUUUUUUCAUUAAAAUUCCCUAAAUAAAUUCACUAAGGUCUCAGAAAAGUCAAUAAAACUGGAAAGCACAAUUGUGUUAAUUGUGAGUGUUAACAAGAAAUGGACUUAUUUUAAAUAUUAUAAACCGAAAGUCUUUCCUCUAGAUUCUUAUCUUGUAAUGGUCAUUUAAACACCAAGUUUCCACUAUCAACAUUUCAGAGGUGACACCAGAAAAGAUUUAUCACCAGAAAUGCUUCAGCCAUCACCUAAUACUAGUACCUCAAGGAAAAAAAAAUAGAAAAAUCCUCCUAGCUUAUUUAAUAGGAAACACUUCAAAAGGCCUUGAAACCAAUUCAACCAAAAAGAGAAAGGAGAAAAUUACAGCAUUAACAUGAAAAUACUACAAGUGCAAGACACACAAUUAUGGUAAUUUAAAGGAAUAAAAGGAGUUGAGGUUCCUUCUGAGACAAGGACUUAGAGGUGAAUCCUUUACACAGCCAGGAGGCUCGCACUUGAUAAGCAGUCCCCACUGGAGGCUCUAGAUUAGGUGUUCUCUCAAGAGCUGUUUGUCGAUUGAGAAAAGAAAAGAAAAGGAAAAGGAAAAAAAUAUAUAUAUUAAUGGCAAAACAUAGUUUAUUAAAUAAGGUAAAGGAUGGCUCAGCAUGGAAUGACCA